rnacentral:rRNA from 1 species
GAUGAACGCUGGCGGCGUGCUUAACACAUGCAAGUCGAACGGAAAGGCCCAAGCUUGCUUGGGUACUCGAGUGGCGAACGGGUGAGUAACACGUGGGUGAUCUGCCCUGCACUUCGGGAUAAGCCUGGGAAACUGGGUCUAAUACUGGAUAGGACCACUUCUUGGAUGUUGUGGUGGAAAGGUUUUUCGGUGUGGGAUGAGCUCGCGGCCUAUCAGCUUGUUGGUGGGGUAAUGGCCUACCAAGGCGUCGACGGGUAGCCGGCCUGAGAGGGUGUACGGCCACAUUGGGACUGAGAUACGGCCCAGACUCCUACGGGAGGCAGCAGUGGGGAAGAUUGCACAAGGGGCGCAAGCCUGAUGCAGCGACGCCGCGUGGGGGAUGACGGCCUUCGGGUUGUAAACUCCUUUCGCUAGGGACGAAGCGUUUUGUGACGGUACCUGGAGAAGAAGCACCGGCUAACUACGUG